GGCCCAUUAGCUCAGUUGGUUAGAGCGUCGUGCUAAUAACGGAAGUUCGUGGGUUCGAUCCUCCCAUGGGCCA
rnacentral:tRNA from 1 species